AGCAGCCGCGGUAAUUCCAGCUCCAAUAGCGUAUAUUAAAGUUGUUGUGGUUAAAAAGCUCGUAGUUGAACCUUGGGCCUGGCUGGCCGGUCCGCCUCACCGCGUGUACUGGUCCGGCCGGGCCUUUCCCUCUGUGGAACCCCAUGCCCUUCACUGGGUGUGGCGGGGAAACAGGACUUUUACUGUGAAAAAAUUAGAGUGCUCCAGGCAGGCCUAUGCUCGAAUACAUUAGCAUGGAAUAAUAGAAUAGGACGUGUGGUUCUAUUUUGUUGGUUUCUAGGACCGCCGUAAUGAUUAAUAGGGACAGUCGGGGGCAUCAGUAUUCAAUUGUCAGAGGUGAAAUUCUUGGAUUUAUUGAAGACUAACUACUGCGAAAGCAUUUGCCAAGGAUGUUUUCAUUAAUCAGGAACGAAAGUUAGGGGAUCGAAGACGAUCAGAUACCGUCGUAGUCUUAACCAUAAACUAUGCCGACUAGGGAUCGGACGGUGUUAUUUUUGACCCGUUCGGCA
rnacentral:rRNA from 1 species